rnacentral:rRNA from 1 species
AUUGAACGCUAGCGGCAUGCCUUACACAUGCAAGUCGAACGGGGUGGCGAACGGGCGAGUAAGUUAUCGGAAGGAGCCUACCAGCGGGGGAUAACUACCUGAAAGCGUAGCUAACACCGCAUACUUUCGGAGCGGCGGACAUCGGAUUGGCUAGUUGGUGGGGUAACGGCCAACCUAGGUGACGAUCCGUAGCUGGGUUGAGAGGAGGACCAGCCACACGGGAACUGAGACACGGUCCAGACUCCUACGGGAGGCAGCAGUGGGGAAUUUUGGACAAUGGGCGCAACCCUGAUGCAGCCAUGCCGCGUGUACGAUGAAGGCCUUCGGGUUGUAAAGCACUUUUAGCGAGGAGGCGGUACCUGCAGAAGAAGCACCGGCUAACUACGUGCCAGCAGCCGCGGUAAUUC